UCGAGGAUCUUCGGCAAUGAGCGCAAGCUUGACCGAGCGACGCCGCGUGGGCGAUGAAGGCCUUCGGGUUGUAAAGCCCUGUCGGGGGGGAGAAAGGGUAAAACUUGAUCUAUCCCCGGAGGAAGCACGGGCUAAGUUCGUGCCAGCAGCCGCGGUAAGACGAACCGUGCGAACGUUGUUCGGAAUCACUGGGCUUAAAGGGCGCGUAGGCGGGUUUUCAAGUCCGGGGUGAAAGCCUCCCGCUUAACGGGAGAAGAGCCUCGGAUACUGAAGAUCUCGAGGAGGGUAGGGGCAGGCGGAGCGAUGGGUGGAGCGGUGAAAUGCAUUGAUAUCCAUAGGAACUCCGGUGGCGAAGGCGGCUUGCUGGACCCUUUCUGACGCUGAGGCGCGAAAGCCAGGGGAGCAAACG
rnacentral:rRNA from 1 species